rnacentral:rRNA from 1 species
AGAGUUUGAUCCUGGCUCAGGAUGAACGCUAGCGGCAGGCCUAACACAUGCAAGUCGAACGGUAACAUGUCCUUCGGGAUGAUGACGAGUGGCGCACGGGUGCGUAACGCGUAUGCAACCUACCUCUAUCAGGGAGAUAGCCCGGAGAAAUUCGGAUUAAUACCCCAUAGUAUUACUGAUUGGCAUCUAUUAAUAAUUAAAGCUUCGGCGGUACAAGAUGAGCAUGCGUCCUAUUAGCUAGAUGGAGUGGUAAUGGCACCCCAUGGCGACGAUAGGUAGGGGCCCUGAGAGGGAGAUCCCCCACACUGGUACUGAGACACGGACCAGACUCCUACGGGAGGCAGCAGUGAGGAAUAUUGGUCAAUGGUCGGAAGACUGAACCAGCCAUGCCGCGUGCAGGAAGACUGCCCUAUGGGUUGUAAACUGCUUUUGUAUGGGAAGAAUAAGGAGUACGUGUACUCUGAUGACGGUACCAUACGAAUAAGGAUCGGCUAACUCCGUGCCAGCAGCCGCGGUAAUACGGAGGAUCCAAGCGUUAUCCGGAAUCAUUGGGUUUAAAGGGUCCGUAGGCGGUUUGUUAAGUCAGGGGUGAAAGUUUGCAGCUCAACUGUAAAAUUGCCUUUGAUACUGACAGACUUGAAUGAUUAGGAAGUGGUUAGAAUAUGUAGUGUAGCGGUGAAAUGCAUAGAUAUUACAUAGAAUACCAAUUGCGAAGGCAGAUCACUACUAAUUGAUUGACGCUGAUGGACGAAAGCGUGGGGAGCGAACAGGAUUAGAUACCCUGGCAGUCCACGCCGUAAACGAUGGAUACUAGCUGUUCGGAUUUCGGUCUGAGUGGCUAAGCGAAAGUGAUAAGUAUCCCACCUGGGGAGUACGUUCGCAAGAAUGAAACUCAAAGGAAUUGACGGGGGCCCGCACAAGCGGUGGAGCAUGUGGUUUAAUUCGAUGAUGCGCGAGGAACCUUACCAGGGCUUAAAUGUAGACUGACAGGACCAGAGAUGGUUUUUUCUUCGGACAGUUUACAAGGUGCUGCAUGGUUGUCGUCAGCUCGUGCCGUGAGGUGUCAGGUUAAGUCCUAUAACGAGCGCAACCCCUGCCGUUAGUUACCAGCAUGUAAUGAUGGGGACUCUAACGGGACUGCCGGUGCAAACCGUGAGGAAGGUGGGGAUGACGUCAAAUCAUCACGGCCCUUACGUCCUGGGCCACACACGUGCUACAAUGGUAGGUACAGAGGGCAGCCACUUGGUGACAAGGCGCGAAUCCUCAAAGCCUAUCUCAGUUCGGAUCGUAGUCUGCAACUCGACUACGUGAAGCUGGAAUCGCUAGUAAUCGCAUAUCAGCCAUGAUGCGGUGAAUACGUUCCCGGGCCUUGUACACACCGCCCGUCAAGCCAUGGAAGCUGGGGGUACCUGAAGUCGGUGACCGCAAGGAGCUGCCUAGGGUAAAACUAGUAACUGGGGCUAAGUCGUAACAAGGUAACC